rnacentral:rRNA from 1 species
GAGAGUUAAACAGUACGUGAAAUUGUUGAAAGGGAAACGAUUGAAGCCAGUCGUACCUUCGGGUAAUCAGCCUUUCGGGUGCGAUUCUGUGGAGUUUGAGGAGCUUAACACCUUCAUGCUUUGCAUAUUCGUGCUCUUGGGUGUACUUGCUCGUAUGGUUGGUUAACAUCAAUUUUGGUGGUCAUAAAAUGACUGGAGGAAUGUAGCUUCGAUCUCGUAUUGAAGUGUUAUAGCCUUCGGUAGAUGUGAUGACUGAGAUUGAGGAUUGCAACGGAUACCCCUCGGGGCUACCUGUCUGAUCUCUGAUCGUUGCUCUGGUGCCGAAAGCUUGCUUACGGUUGUCAAAGUCGAUGGUCAAUAGGUUAGAAUGGGUUAAAUUCGUUAAGGAUGUUGACGUAAUGGCUUUAAACGA